CUGGCGGCAGUAGCGCGGUGGUCCCACCUGACCCCAUGCCGAACUCAGAAGUGAAACGCCGUAGCGCCGAUGGUAGUGUGGGGUCUCCCCAUGCGAGAGUAGGGAACUGCCAGGC
rnacentral:rRNA from 15 species